rnacentral:rRNA from 1 species
AUACGGAGGAUGCAAGCGUUAUCCGGAUUUAUUGGGUUUAAAGGGUGCGUAGGCGGUUUGCUAAGCGGGAGGUGAAAUGCCGGCGCUCAACGUCGGAAGUGCCUCCCGAACUGGUGGACUUGAAUGACUCUGCCGUGGGAGGAAUGUGUAGUGUAGCGGUGAAAUGCUUAGAGAUUACACAGAACACCGAUUGCGAAGGCAUCUCACGAAGGGUUGAUUGACGCUGAGGCACGAAAGCGUGGGGAUCAAACAGGAUUAGAUACCCUGGUAGUCCACGCAGUAAACGAUGAUGGCUAACCGCUGGGCUUAUCAGUUCAGUGGCCAAGCGAAAGCGAUAAGCCAUCCACCUGGGGAGUACGAUCGCAAGGUUGAAACUCAAAUGAAUUGGCGGGG